UAGGGAAUCUUCCGCAAUGGACGCAAGUCUGACGGAGCAACGCCGCGUGAGUGAAGAAGGAUUUCGGUUCGUAAAACUCUGUUGUUAGAGAAGAACAGCGCAUAGAGUAACUGUUAUGCGUGUGACGGUAUCUAACCAGAAAGCCACGGCUAACUACGUGCCAGCAGCCGCGGUAAUACGUAGGUGGCAAGCGUUGUCCGGAUUUAUUGGGCGUAAAGCGAGCGCAGGCGGUCAAUUAAGUCUGAUGUGAAAGCCCCCGGCUCAACCGGGGAGGGUCAUUGGAAACUGGUUGACUUGAGCGCAGAAGAGGAGAGUGGAAUUCCAUGUGUAGCGGUGAAAUGCGUAGAUAUAUGGAGGAACACCAGUGGCGAAGGCGACUCUCUGGUCUGUAACUGACGCUGAGGCUCGAAAGCGUGGGUAGCAAACAGG
rnacentral:rRNA from 1 species